rnacentral:rRNA from 1 species
UACGUAGGGGCCGAGCGUUGUCCGGAGUUAUUGGGCGUAAAGCGCGCGCAGGCGGCUGAUCAAGCCCGACGUGAAAGCCCCCGGCUUAACCGGGGAGGGUCGUAGGGGACUGGUUGGCUUGAGGGCGGGAGAGGUCGGUGGAAUUCCCGGUGUAGUGGUGAAAUGCGUAGAGAUCGGGAGGAACACCUGUGGCGAAGGCGGCCGACUGGGCCGACCCUGACGCUGAGGCGCGAAGGCGUGGGGAGCGAACGGG